rnacentral:rRNA from 1 species
GACGAACGCUGGCGGCGUGCUUAACACAUGCAAGUCGAACGGAAAGGCCCUGCUUGCAGGGUACUCGAGUGGCGAACGGGUGAGUAACACGUGGGUGAUCUGCCCUGCACUUCGGGAUAAGCCUGGGAAACUGGGUCUAAUACCGGAUAGGAGCCAUUUUUAUUGUGAUGGUUGGAAAGUUUAUUCGGUGUAGGAUGAGCUCGCGGCCUAUCAGCUUGUUGGUGGGGUAAUGGCCUACCAAGGCGGCGACGGGUAGCCGGCCUGAGAGGGUGGACGGCCACAUUGGGACUGAGAUACGGCCCAGACUCCUACGGGAGGCAGCAGUGGGGAAUAUUGCACAAUGGGCGCAAGCCUGAUGCAGCGACGCCGCGUGGGGGAUGACGGCCUUCGGGUUGUAAACUCCUUUCGCUAGGGACGAAGCUUUUGUGACGGUACCUAGAUAAGAAGCACCGGCUAACUACGUG